GAGGCAAACCCCGGCCGCCCAUCGAGCUUGGACCUCGCUGCCGGCUGCCGUCCGUCGUCGUGUUUGUGCUGCUAGCGGCCAUGCAACGCCGCUGUCUAUCCCUCUACGUUGCCGUUCUCAUGCUCGUCUGGCUCUUCUUCGCGCCGCUCUCCGUCGUCGCCGGCAGCCUUAUCGCCAUCCCCAGCGCACUCGACGGUAGCCGCACCUCUCACCGUCGCCCUAUUGAAAAUCCACGGUUCAACGUGACGCUCUGGGAGAAAAACGAGAUCAAUACUAGACCUAAGGCGUCCCAUGGAUUUGACGAUGGUGACGAAGUCUCCUACACCGUGGCCAUGCCUUCAUAGAGAAGCUUAGGCGGCGAUGCGCCGUGGCCACCGGCGGUAGCCAUCGUCGCUGCGAUGCCACAGCGAUCAGGCAGUUUGAGGAGGAUGUGGCUCCCUGCCUGCUAGAGAUGUUGAAGGUGACCAGGGAGUUCAGCCACACAUUGUCUAAUUUGGAUUAUAGUAGAUGGCUGGGCCCCUAUUAUCUGGAUUUGGCCGUGCAGCAAAGGUCCCAAAUGAUGAACUUGUUUUGCAUGAACAAACCCAAUGUUUUAGCGUGCUUAUGCUAGCUUUAAAAUGAUCAAUUAAUGCUUUCCACAU
rnacentral:lncRNA from 1 species